GGUCCUGUAGCUCAGCGGGAGAGCGUCCGCCUCACACGCGGAAGGUCGCUGGUUCGAUCCCAGUCGGGACCACCA
rnacentral:tRNA from 4 species